rnacentral:rRNA from 1 species
GAAGGUGGCAAGCGUUGUUCGGAAUCACUGGGCUCAAAGCGCGCGUAGGCGGAAAUGUAAGUGUCUUGUGAAAUCCCUCGGCUCAACCGAGGAACUGCUCGGCAAACUGCAUUUCUUGAGGCAAGUAGGGGUACAUGGAACUCUUGGUGGAGCGGUGGAAUGCGUAGAUAUCAAGAGGAACGCCAAAGGUGAAGACAGUGUACUGGGCUUGUCCUGACGCUGAGGUGCGAAAGCGUGGGGGAGCGAACGGGAUUAGAUACCCCGGUAGUCCACGCCGUAAACGAUGUCUACUAGGUUGUGGGUGUUCUGACACACUCGCAGUCGGAGCAAAAGUGUUAAGUAGACCGCCUGGGGAGUACGGUCGCAAGGCUA